GGAAGAUUAAUACCGCAUAAUAUGUUUUGGUCGCAUGAUCGAAACAUCAAAGGAGCAAUCCGCUUUGAGAUGGACCCGCGGCGCAUUAGCUAGUUGGUGAGGUAACGGCUCACCAAGGCGACGAUGCGUAGCCGACCUGAGAGGGUGAUCGGCCACAUUGGAACUGAGACACGGUCCAGACUCCUACGGGAGGCAGCAGUGGGGAAUAUUGCGCAAUGGGGGAAACCCUGACGCAGCAACGCCGCGUGAAUGAUGAAGGCCUUCGGGUUGUAAAGUUCUGUCUUCUGGGACGAUAAUGACGGUACCAGAGGAGGAAGCCACGGCUAACUACGUGCCAGCAGCCGCGGUAAUACGUAGGUGGCAAGCGUUGUCCGGAUUUACUGGGCGUAAAGGAUGCGUAGGCGGACAUUUAAGUCAGAUGUGAAAUACCCGAGCUUAACUUGGGUGCUGCAUUUGAAACUGGGUGUCUA
rnacentral:rRNA from 1 species